rnacentral:rRNA from 1 species
UUCUGAUGAUGCGCGGCUACACAUGCAAGUCGAGCGGAUGAAGGGAGCUUGCUCCUGGAUUCAGCGGCGGACGGGUGAGUAAUGCCUAGGAAUCUGCCUGGUAGUGGGGGAUAACGUCCGGAAACGGGCGCUAAUACCGCAUACGUCCUGAGGGAGAAAGUGGGGGAUCUUCGGACCUCACGCUAUCAGAUGAGCCUAGGUCGGAUUAGCUAGUUGGUGGGGUAAAGGCCUACCAAGGCGACGAUCCGUAACUGGUCUGAGAGGAUGAUCAGUCACACUGGAACUGAGACACGGUCCAGACUCCUACGGGAGGCAGCAGUGGGGAAUAUUGGACAAUGGGCGAAAGCCUGAUCCAGCCAUGCCGCGUGUGUGAAGAAGGUCUUCGGAUUGUAAAGCACUUUAAGUUGGGAGGAAGGGCAGUAAGUUAAUACCUUGCUGUUUUGACGUUACCAACAGAAUAAGCACCGGCUAACUUCGUGCCAGCAGCCGCGGUAAUACGAAGGGUGCAAGCGUUAAUCGGAAUUACUGGGCGUAAAGCGCGCGUAGGUGGUUCAGCAAGUUGGAUGUGAAAUCCCCGGGCUCAACCUGGGAACUGCAUCCAAAACUACUGAGCUAGAGUACGGUAGAGGGUGGUGGAAUUUCCUGUGUAGCGGUGAAAUGCGUAGAUAUAGGAAGGAACACCAGUGGCGAAGGCGACCACCUGGACUGAUACUGACACUGAGGUGCGAAAGCGUGGGAGCAAACAGGAUUAGAUACCCUGGUAGUCCACGCCGUAAACGAUGUCGACUAGCCGUUGGGAUCCUUGAGAUCUUAGUGGCGCAGCUAACGCGAUAAGUCGACCGCCUGGGGAGUACGGCCGCAAGGUUAAAACUCAAAUGAAUUGACGGGGGCCCGCACAAGCGGUGGAGCAUGUGGUUUAAUUCGAAGCAACGCGAAGAACCUUACCUGGCCUUGACAUGCUGAGAACUUUCCAGAGAUGGAUUGGUGCCUUCGGGAACUCAGACACAGGUGCUGCAUGGCUGUCGUCAGCUCGUGUCGUGAGAUGUUGGGUUAAGUCCCGUAACGAGCGCAACCCUUGUCCUUAGUUACCAGCACCUCGGGUGGGCACUCUAAGGAGACUGCCGGUGACAAACCGGAGGAAGGUGGGGAUGACGUCAAGUCAUCAUGGCCCUUACGGCCAGGGCUACACACGUGCUACAAUGGUCGGUACAAAGGGUUGCCAAGCCGCGAGGUGGAGCUAAUCCCAUAAAACCGAUCGUAGUCCGGAUCGCAGUCUGCAACUCGACUGCGUGAAGUCGGAAUCGCUAGUAAUCGUGAAUCAGAAUGUCACGGUGAAUACGUUCCCGGGCCUUGUACACACCGCCCGUCACACCAUGGGAGUGGGUUGCUCCAGAAGUAGCUAGUCUAACCGCAAGGGGGACGGUA